CUUUAGGUCAUGAGGAAUAUUGUGUGUUGAAUGUACAACAUUGCUCGUACUACAAUAAAAAUAUUGGAUGGCACAGGCAGCGAAGGGUCCACAGGAUGACUGGUCUCUAGGAGAAAAUGAGCAGUGUAGACAUAUCAUAAACAUCAUAUUUACUGAUCUCCGAAAUUCAAUUCGACUUAGAGACGUAAAUGAGCUGAUACUCAAGCUAACAUCAAACAAUCUUCUAGAUAACGAGAAAUUUAAAUACAAAAAUGAAAAAACACGUGGAAUAAAAUUUCAAGGGCUGAUAUGUGCUGAUGAAAAUGGAAUUAAUCAGGAUUCAUGGAAGACCCGGGAUACAUUGAUGUUUUGGAUAAAAGAUAUUCGACGAAAUUUUUCAACAUAUUUGGAGGCAGAAAAAGAAUUUGUGUUGGAGCGUUUAAAACGAUCUACUCCAGUAUCAGAGGAGUGGUUGACGGAAAAUGUAACCUUGGAUACUACUAAUCCUUCCAUGGGAGAGUGUCUUUCACUUCAGUUUAAUGUUAAACACAUCAAGGAGAAGCUAGAAAAGGAGUUUUACACGGAAAACAGAGGAAGAUUUGAAAAAGAAUUUGGAUCAAUUGAAACAGAGGAAUGGAAUCCUGCUGUGUUUCAUCUUUCUGCCAACGCAUUUGAAACUACUAUUGGAAUCUUCCAUGAAAUGGAAGGUCGUGUGUUAGAGUCCAGGUUUUAUCCUCACACAUAUAAAGAAGGCCAUUCAAAACCAAUUGUGUAUUUCGCCAAGACAGGAGAUUCAUCUUAAUCCAGAGCUCAUCCUAAUGAGGAAAACAAAAUAGCCGAACGUGAUUUAGAUACGA